CUGCAGCCCGAGUGGUGAUCGAUUUUAUUGAGCCUAAAGCGUCCGUAGCCGGACUAGUAAACCCUUGGGUAAAUUGGGCAGCUUAACUGUCCAAAUUCCGAGGGGACUGCUAGUCUUGGGACCGGGAGAGGUCAGAGGUACUCAAGGGGUAGGGGCUAAAUCCUGUAAUCCUUUGGGGACCACCAGUGGCGAAGGCGUCUGACCAGAACGGAUCCGACGGUAAGGGACGAAACCCUGGGGCGCGAACCGGAUUAGAUACCCGAGUAGUCC
rnacentral:rRNA from 1 species